UACAGAGGUCUCAAGCGUUGUUCGGAUUCAUUGGGCGUAAAGGGUGCGUAGGCGGCGCGGUAAGUCGGGUGUGAAAUCUCGGGGCUUAACUCCGAAACUGCAUUCGAUACUGCCGUGCUUGAGGACUGGAGAGGAGACUGGAAUUUACGGUGUAGCGGUGAAAUGCGUAGAUAUCGUAAGGAAGACCAGUGGCGAAGGCGGGUCUCUGGACAGUUCCUGACGCUGAGGCACGAAGGCCAGGGGGGCGAACGGG
rnacentral:rRNA from 1 species